rnacentral:ncRNA from 1 species
GGUAGUAGCAAAUAUUCGAACGAGACCUUCGAAGACCGAAGUGGAGAAAGGUUCCGUGCUAACGGCGGUCGAGCACGGGCCAGUCGGUCCUAAGAAGCGGGUGAAAGCUUCAAAAGGCGGCGAGCUGGUAGAAACGUUAGCACGCCGGGCGAAAUGCUUAGCGGUAUUUCGUCUGCUGCUACGUUCUCAGUUCAAAUUCCGCCGAGGUCGACUUUGCCUUUCAUCCUUUUGGGGUCGAUAAAUUAAGUACCAGUUACGCACUGGGGUCGAUGUAAUCGAUUUAAUCCCUUGUUUGUCCCCUCUAUGUUUAGCCUCUUGUG